rnacentral:misc_RNA from 1 species
AACCUAGCACACCUGCGGUGUGUACCUGCGGAGGGAUCAUUAUGAAUUUGAACUUGUGCAGCUGUUUCAUUUAUUUUGAACGCUCGCAAUUCUUUUUCUGUGAACUGUUCUCGAGUUUUCAUCUUUUUUUGUUUGAAAACUCGGGUCAUUUUUGUUUUCUUGAUUUUCUAUUCCAUAUUUUCUUUUUCUUGGAGUAAUUCUUGCAAAAGAAUGAAACAAAAAAAUAAUAAACCAAGACAA